GGAGAGAUGGCAGAGUGGUUGAAUGCGACCGUCUUGAAAACGGUUGAUGGAAACAUCCGGGGGUUCGAAUCCCUCUCUCUCCG
rnacentral:tRNA from 2 species